rnacentral:rRNA from 1 species
UACGGAGGAUGCAGGCGUUAUCCGGAUUUAUUAGGUUUAAAGGGUGCGUAGGCGGUUAUAUAAGUCAGUGGUGAAAUCCUACAGCUCAACUGUAGAACUGCCAUUGAUACUGUAUAACUUGAGUGCAGUCGAGGUAGGCGGAAUGUGUAAUGUAGCGGUGAAAUGCAUAGAUAUUACACAGAACACCAAUUGCGUAGGCAGCUUACUAGACUGUAACUGACGCUGAUGCACGAAAGCGUGGGUAGCGAACAGG